UACGUAGGAGGCAAGCGUUGUCCGGAAUUACUGGGCGUAAAGCGCGUGUAGGUGGUGGGACAAGUCUGCUGUGAAAGCGCCUGGCUUAACCGGGCGAGGUCGGCGGAAACUGUCCGACUAGAGGACGGUAGAGGGGGGGUGGAAUUCCCGGUGUAGUGGUGAAAUGCGUAGAGAUCGGGAGGAACACCUGUGGCGAAGGCGGCCCCCCUGGGCCGGCCCUGACACUGAGACGCGAAGGCGUGGGGAGCGAACGGG
rnacentral:rRNA from 1 species